GCCAGGCGUGAUGGCGCGUGCCUGUAGUCCCAGCUACUUGGGAGGCUGAGGUGGGAGGAUCGCUUGAGCCUGGUAGUUCUGGGCUGUAGUGCGCUAUGCUGAUCUGGUGUCUGCAUUAAGUUCAGCAUCAAUAUGGUGACCUCUCAGGAGUGGGGGACCACCAGGUUGCCUAAGGAGGUGUGAACUGGCCCAGGUUGAAAACGGAGCAGGUCAGAACUCCUAUGCUAAUCAGUAGUGGGAUUGUGCCUGUGAAUAGCCACUACACUCCAGCCUGGGCAACAUAGUGAGACACCGUCCCUU
ensembl:misc_RNA Metazoa_SRP Metazoan signal recognition particle RNA